UGAGAAUGCACGCAUUAUUGGAGUGUUAAUAGGACAGCGCGCACCUUAAUUUCGAUCACGUUCCCCUGCUUUGCUUAUCUCCCUCACUCCUUUCUUUUCUGCAAAACUCUCUCUUUUCAUUCCUUUCACCAUUCCCUUUCUUUCUCGCUUCACACCUUUUUCCACGUUGCUUUUUAAACUAAGUAGCAUCCAUUAUUACUCCUGUCAAUUACGCCACUAUAUUCACGUUUUAACUUUACUUGACCUCCAUCGAAAUCUCAAUUACGUGCAUUUCACUUUUUCCGCUUCCAGAUAAACAUACAUACACAAGCGGCGAGAGAGAUGAACAUCUUCUUCUUCGUCGCUUUGGUGUUGUUGUGUGUAGUGACAGUAGCAGCUCCAUGGCGGGUUGUCUCCGAAGAUAAUGAAGAACAACACAGGCUUCUGGUGAACAUGACUCUCGUUAAGAACGCUCGUGCCGGCGGUGCUCUUUGUUUGGACGGGAGUUUACCGGCUUAUCACUUGCAUAGGGGAUUUGGAGCUGGACUCAAUAACUGGCUUCUACAGUUCGAGGUGCACCUUUUCAAACUCUCUCUCCCCUUUUCAAACUCUUGCUUUAUUUUCUACCAUUUUUUAAUAAAAAAUUGAAAGAAUCAACACUUUCAUUAAAAUUUAGUCAAUAUUUACUUAUAAAAAAUAUAUAAUUUUAUACUAUAUAAUUUAGUCUCCUCAUACUCAUCUAAGAGGUUGCGAGUUUGAGUCAAAUUUUUGUUAAAAAAAAAUGACUAUAAAUAAUUAAAUGUGCUGUUUUUAUCACUACUGUUUUAUUAAACCAAAAACUUUAAUUAGUUCUCGCUUUGUUACAAGCAUAAGAGCUUUUUGAUGAUAUUAGAUGAGAUUAAUUCGUCUGUGUUAGUUUUGAUGCUACACUAUUCAUCAAUAACAUAUCGCGUUUAGUUUGUAAAUUAGAAAAAUACUAAUUAUUAUAACCAAUUUUAGAAUUAAAUCAGGUCCAAAUCAACUCAACGAAUUAAUUUAUGUAAAAAGAUUGCUCAAAUACUCUUAAACACGUAUUAUUCCAUAUUUCUAGUCAAGAUGAGAUUCUACCAAAUAAUUACAUAUAAAAAUACAUUUUAGUAUUUUAAAUAAGGUAAUUAAUGAAAAUGAAAGUUAUGUCUUUUUUAGUCUAACAAAAAAUUAUUUAUUCAUAGAAAGUUAUUUUACGUGGAGAAGCAUUUAUUUGAGUAACGCUAGGCUGCUUUGUUUUACGGGUUUAAUAAUUGUGGUAGACCGGUAGAGUUUGAAAAAGGGGUGGCGAUUUUUUACUUCUAGUUUCUGGGGAAAUCAAACAAGGGCGAUGAUGGUUGGUUUCGAAAUGCUAUACAACUAAGGACCAAAAAAAGCUAUAGGACACUGAUUUUUCUGUCGUCUAUAUAGAGUUUUGCGCGCGCACUUCUUUUGUUUCAGUUACCCGCCCCAACAAUUCUCAUGAAUGAU